GGAAGUGGGAUGACGUCAAAUCAUCAUGCCCCUUAUGACCUGGGCUACACACGUGCUACAAUGGUUGGUACAACGAGUUGCGAGUCGGUGACGGCGAGCUAAUCUCUUAAAGCCAAUCUCAGUUCGGAUUGUAGGCUGCAACUCGCCUACAUGAAGUCGGAAUCGCUAGUAAUCGCGGAUCAGCACGCCGCGGUGAAUACGUUCCCGGGCCUU
rnacentral:rRNA from 1 species